UACGUAGGGUGCAAGCGUUGUCCGGAAUUAUUGGGCGUAAAGAGCUUGUAGGCGGUUUGUCGCGUCUGCUGUGAAAUUUCGGGGCUCAACCCCGAACUUGCAGUGGGUACGGGCAGACUAGAGUGUGGUAGGGGAGACUGGAAUUCCUGGUGUAGCGGUGGAAUGCGCAGAUAUCAGGAGGAACACCGAUGGCGAAGGCAGGUCUCUGGGCCAUAACUGACGCUGAGAAGCGAAAGCAUGGGGAGCGAACAGG
rnacentral:rRNA from 1 species